AAGGCCUUCGGGUUGUAAAGCUCUUUCGGCGGGGACAAAACGGCGACCGCGAAUAACGGUCGUUAAUGAUGGUACCCGAAGAAGAAGCACCCGGCUGACUACGUGC
rnacentral:rRNA from 1 species